GAUGAACGCUAGCUACAGGCUUAACACAUGCAAGUCGCGGGGCAGCAUGGGGGUUGCUUGCAAUCCCCGAUGGCGACCGGCGCACGGGUGAGUAACGCGUAUCCAACCUGCCCUUCACCACGGGAUAACCCGGCGAAAGUCGGACUAAUACCGUAUGUUGUCCAUUGACGGCAUCCGAUUUGGACGAAAGGGUUGGCGGUGAAGGAUGGGGAUGCGUCCGAUUAGCUGGACGGCGGGGUGACGGCCCACCGUGGCGACGAUCGGUAGGGGUUCUGAGAGGAAGGUCCCCCACACUGGAACUGAGACACGGUCCAGACUCCUACGGGAGGCAGCAGUGCGGAAUAUUGGUCAAUGGGCGUAAGCCUGAACCAGCCAAGUAGCGUGCAGGAUGACGGCCCUAUGGGUUGUAAACUGCUUUUAUGCGGGGAUAAAGUGGCCCACGUGUGGGUUUUUGCAGGUACCGCAUGAAUAAGGACCGGCUAAUUCCGUG
rnacentral:rRNA from 1 species